rnacentral:rRNA from 1 species
UGGGGAAUUUUGCACAAUGGGGGAAACCCUGAUGCAGCGACGCCGCGUGAUUUAGAAGGCCUUCGGGUUGUAAAAAUCUUUUUUACGGGAUGAAAAUGACAGUACCGUAAGAAUAAGGUCCGGCUAAAUACGUGCCAGCAGCCGCGGUAAUACGUAUGGACCGAGCGUUGUCCGGAAUCAUUGGGCGUAAAGGGUACGUAGGCGGCCUAGUAAGUUAGAAGUGAAAUAAUAUAGCUCAACUAUAUAAAGCUUUUAAAACUGCUGGGCUUGAGAGAUGGAAGGGAAAGUGGAAUUCCUAGUGUAGCGGUGAAAUGCGCAGAUAUUAGGAAGAAUACCGGUGGCGAAGGCGACUUUCUGGUCAUCAUCUGACGCUGAGGUACGAAAGCGUGGGUAGCAAACAGG